CAUCGGUACCUCUUCGAGAGGUUUCGGUGCUGUAGGGAAGCCGAAGAGUGUGCUACCUGGGAAGUAUAGUCGCAAGGCCGAAACUUAAAGGAAUUGGCGGGGGGGCACUACAACGAGUGACGCGUGCGGUUCAAUCAGAUUCCACACCGUGAACCUCACCAGGAGCGACAGCAGAAUGAAGGUCAGUCUGAAGGGCUUACCUGACUCGCUGAGAGGAGGUGCAUGGCCGACGUCAGCCUGUGUCGUGAGAUGACUUGUUAAAUCAAGUAACAGGCGAGACCCGCAUGUAUAGUUGCUAUGUGCACACUAUACAGACUGCCUUGGUAACAAGGAGGAAGGUACGGGCUACGUUAGGUGGUAUGCCCCGAAUCCCCUGGGCGACACGCGCGCGGCAAUGCUGGACUCAAUGAGAUGCGACUCCGAGAGGAGAAGCUAAUCCCAUAAUAUUCAGCUCAGUUCAGAUUGAGGUUUGCAACUCAACCUCAUGACGCUGGAAUUCGUAGUAAUCGGGUGUCAACACCGCCCGGUGAAUAUGUCCCUGCCCCUUGCACACACUGCCCGUCAAACCAACCGAGUUUUGUUUUGGUGAGGCCCAAUAGGGACAAAUCCUGGCAAGACAAGGUAGGUUAAGUCGUAACAAGGUAGCC
rnacentral:rRNA from 1 species